rnacentral:rRNA from 1 species
UGAACGACUCUCGGCAACGGAUAUCUCGGCUCUCGCAUCGAUGAAGAACGUAGCGAAAUGCGAUACUUGGUGUGAAUUGCAGAAUCCCGUGAACCAUCGAGUCUUUGAACGCAAGUUGCGCCCGAAGCUUCUGGCCGAGGGCACGCCUGCCUGGGCGUCACGC